UACGAAGGGGGCUAGCGUUGCUCGGAAUGACUGGGCGUAAAGGGCGCGUAGGCGGACGGCUUUGUCGGGCGUGAAAUUCCAGGGCUCAACCUUGGGGCUGCGUUCGAGACGGGUUGUCUAGAGUUUGGGAGAGGGUCGUGGAAUUCCCAGUGUAGAGGUGAAAUUCGUAGAUAUUCGCAAGAACACCAGUGGCGAAGGCGGCUCACUGGCCCGGUACUGACGCUGAGGUGCGAAAGCGUGGGGAGCAAACAGG
rnacentral:rRNA from 1 species